rnacentral:rRNA from 1 species
AUUUAAAAUGUAUUUAUAAAUACUAAAGUAGUAUUAGUUAUGUUCUUGAAACUUAAAAAAUUUGGCGGUAUUUUAGUCUAUUCAGAGGAACCUGUUCUGUAAUCGAUAAUCCACGAUGGACCUUACUUAAAUUUGUUAAUCAGUUUAUAUACCGUCGUUAUUAGAAUAUUUUAUAAGAAUAAUAAUUUUCAUAAAAUUUUAUUAAAACAUAUAUCAGAUCAAGGUGUAGCUUAUGUUUAAGUAGAAAUGGGUUACAAUAAAUUUAUUUAUACGGAGGUAAAUAUGAAAAACUUACUGAAGGUGGAUUUGAUAGUAAAAUUAUAAAGAUUAAUAAUUUGAUUUUAGCUCUAAAAUAUGU